CCCCGGCCCCCGGCCCCCUUCACCUUCCAGCGUGGCACGGUACCAACCAGAUUAGGUACGUAUGGAAGUGUUUUUCCCCUUUUGAUACUAAAUCUCCCUACCAAAAACCACUUGCCGCUACAAGAGAAAGCGACGGACUUUGCCUAAAACUACUACGGUAAUUCUUACUCAACGCCGCCAAAACGAAGAUAAUUUUGUUUCUACACUGACAAGUAAAAGAACAGAUUGCAUAAGAAACCAAGCGUGUAAACCGGGGAAAAAAAAAAAAAACGCCGUAAAAAACACACCACUAUCAGAAAAAAAGUUCAGAGCAAGCACAAGCUGCCAGAGAAAUUUACAGUCUGUUUUUUCAUACCAAACAAACUUCCCCCCGAAGGGGGUGCACCGUUCCUGGAAGUACUGCAAUACCAGGUCGAUGCGUGGAGUGGACGGAGCAAGCUCCUAUUCCAUCUCCCAGCUCCAAAAAUCCAUUUAAUAUAUUGUCCUCGGAUAGAGGACGUAUCAGAUAUUAAACUGAUAAGAACAGAUACUACACUUGAUCUUAGCCAAAAGGCCGAGAAGCGAUACCGACCACUUCGGGAUCGCUGCUAUCCAUCUUCUAUCACACAUAUUACAGUCAUGCUGAGAUCCCUUCUUUUAGUCCGGAUGUUACUUCCUUUACCUCUUUCACAGUAGUAUGAAAGUAGGUGGACCUUGUACAGAUUGUGUAUUCCGUACAUUUUUAAGAGACUUUUUAUACGCAUUUUUACGCCUUCGUUUCCGGGCUGACGCGCCAUCCCUAAUUUGCAUGCCCCGCCAGGUACCCUCCCCCCGAGGAGGCGUGGCUAUCGCGGCGGGCUCCACCCUUGAGGCCGCCUCCGAGCGCUGCGAGCGGACCUCCCGGUUGCAGCCGGCGGAGACAGAACUGAGUGGGGGACGGGAGGGGCCGGUGGGAGGGAGUUAUUGGUGGAGAGCAGUUCGGCAUUUCCGGAAGAGAGCCACCGCUUCGCCAGUGUGAAGGCGGCAGGCUGGGUCCGGGCCGAAGACGGAGCCGAUCGCUGAGAGCCCAGGUGUGCUGGUACGGCGCCGCCUGGAAGGGGCCUCAGAGAGGAGUCGAGACCCCAGGAGGUCGUCGAGCCUCAGUUUCCCCAGCUGAGAAGUAGAAACGUUCAUGGCUACCGCGUCGGGUUGGGGGAGUAUAAACCGAGCUAAAUGGCUGAACAGUCUAGAAUAUGGGUCUUAGUGUCCGACGAGGUUCCCGUGAAGGGGUCACGGCUGCUGAGGACGGAAUAUGGGAAGCCCUGCCCAGCGCUGAAGAUCCGAAGGGAGCUGGGGGUUGCGUCGGGCCACAGAGCCCAGGUCAAGGUCCGCAGAGCCCCUGGGCUGACUCAGCCCGCUCCUUUGCCUGCGCUUCACCGCCCCUAGGGGCGCCGUCAUCCUCUCAGGCGAGACCCCAUUCCCUCUUCGCGGCAGCGGGGGGCAGCAGAGAGCAACCAAGGUAGCCUCCGUCUCUGUGUGCCCUGGCCUCGCACCAGCCGGGUGAGGUCAUCCAGCCUGCGCUGACCUGGUAGACAAGUAAACCAGGGUCCAGAGAGGGAGACUUCAAGGUCAUCCCGGUGAAAGACCGAGCUCAGCGCUCAGGCCUCGUGUUAAGAGCCGCUCUCCACGAUGGUACUUCAUUUCAUCCAUUCCAAGAUGCACAUUUUUUUUUUUUUCAUAUUUUGUAUCUCCGAAAUCAGGAUGUAUCUUACGUGUGAUGUCAGCCUGCUACUGUUUACGCGGCAGUGGUAUUUUCUUCUCUCUCCCUCCCUCCCUCUUUCUGAUACCUAAAAUAAUGGUGCCUCUCACAAUCAGUGACAUCUUAGAUUCGUGAAAUGCUGUAAUAUUAAAAGCCUCUGUUUGUUGAAUUCUGAUCCUUAACCCUUUACUCAUCACAACACCUCUAGGAUGAAGGUAUUAUCUCCCUUUACAGGGAAGGAAACUUAUCCGGGACCGCGUGAGUGCAACUUGACUGCUUUUUGUACGGCCAAUAAAUAACGGAGCUGCGAUUUCACCAGACUUUUCACCUGGCUCACGCUUCUAACCGCUACACUUUGCUCCCUCCACGACAAGAUUCUGGGUCUUGAAUAAUAACAAGCUCUUUUCUUUAACUGCAGACUUACAAGUGACUCCGAUCAGGCGACAGCACGGAAGAUGCCCUGAGACACAAUGGGAGUUUAAAACUCCAGACUGGAAGGGGUUGGGUGGGAUGGGGAGUGGAAUCCUAGAGCUGGAGGGAAACCUGAGGUCAGAGGUGGGGUCGGAAGAGGUGGCGUGCACAGGGCAGGCAGGAGAGGGGCUCAGAAAGGGAGGCGGGAAGGAGGAGGGCGCAGUCUUGGCCAGCUGACCCUGAAAAUCCCUCCUCUAGCAUGAGGACUGAUUCAGGGGGCUGGAAUCAUUUUCCCAAUUCAGCCCAGGGUCCCGUUCCAAGCAUCUUCCUAUCUGAUCCCUGUUCCUUGCAGAAUGAGAAGAGAAUAAGAGGGAAAGUGAGAGCAUGGCCGGGUUGAAACCCCAGGUUCUGCUCAGCCCGACGCGUCUCAUCCAGUAAAGGUGGGAGUGUAGCAAGACCCUUUAUUUCAUCGUGCAAGGAAAGGAGCAGUCGGGGCGGCUGCCGCCAAGACUGCUCAGGGAGGGCGAGGGGAAAGGUUACUUUUCAGGGGUUUACAAGUGGGAAGUUCAGACAAGUUACUUCCGCAAUGUCCUUAAUCGGACUGCGCAGGCACGAUGCAGCGCACGCUCAGAAAAUGGCGGUGAAGCCCCGCCCAGAGGCGGGGAGGCUGCUAUGCAUAGGCUGUUUACCGAGCUAAAAGGGUACCCUGAAGGUCAGCUUGGCGCCUAAACUGGUUUCUGCCAAUUACCUCUGGUUUGAGGGCAGCAGUUAAGGAGAGGGGAACCGGGAUUCUAAUGUAAAGCUACAGAGGGAGCGUGCCAAGCAAGCUGCUUGAGGCAGUGGAAUCUCUGUCUUAAGAGAGGAAGAGUUGCAAAAAAGAACCCACUUCCUCCCUUGUCCAUUUAAUUACUGAAACAUUCCAGUGCCUUUCACCUCCUCUUAUUAUCAUUGUUUCCACGUAGAUAUUUUAAAAAGCUGGGACAUCCCUACCACCGGCAUAGCUGGUUGCCCAUUGUGAGGGCAGGCACUUCCCAAGCAUUCUCUGGGGUCUGGACAACCCUCCCAUGAAGGCUCAGAGAUGCUGAGUGACCUGCCCAUUCCCCCAGGUAGUAAGUGACACUGCCUGGAUCGAACCUGAGUCUGUUUGACUCCAAAGUCCAAGCUGACUUCACCACAAGCUCUCCAAGAACCAGGAACUCAUUCUCCGGUUCAAGGGCUUCUGCCUCCCCACCCCAUCCCCACCACCACACUGGAGGCUGUGUUUGGGGCUGGGGCUGGGUUUGAAGACCCUUUUUCAUGGACACCCUUCUCCUGCCCCCAGCCCUGAGGCCAAACUCAGGCUCUGCUGCUUCCAGAAAGAUGCAUUUCUGGGGUUAAAGGUGUGUGCCUGUAUGUGUGUGAGUGUGAGAACGAGGUAGGUCAAUAGCCUCCUUGGGACGAGUUAAAGCACACAGUCCCUCCCCCAAAAGCCUUUCUGGGCUCCAGGGAAUGCCUCUCCCCACCUGGUCGUGUAGGAAGAAUAAUAGUAAUACAGGAAUAAUACCAACCUGUAGGUGAACAACUUUACACUUUCUCUUGUAUAUUUCAAAUCCAUUAAUUGAUUUGAUUCUCAUGCCAGCCCUGUGAAGAAGGUAACAAAUAAUACCCUUCUUGUUCUACAAGGAAGGAAACCGAGGCCCAGAGAGGGUAGGUAGGGUCCCCAGGGUCACAGGAAGAGGCCGACCCUAGGCUUGAGCUCAGCAUGAAAACCCCCCAGGGCUAGGCCGGUUCCUAACAAGUCACCUUGCCUUCUAGGGACCCCAGUGAGAGCUGGAUUUUGUAUUUUCUUUCCUCUUGACUCAGACAGACAUGUACCAGCAGGGGGAGGAGGUGGAGGACUGAGGGAAAGGAAAUUCCAGAGCAUUUGGGGGUGGGCGGGGCCCCGCAGAGGGCCAGAUGGGGUGCUGGAAGCCUGGAAAGGGUUAGAGAAAGAAGCCUGAGAGAACCAUCCCUAGGCACACCGAGACUAAAAACUGAGGUAGAAAGGUGUCACCUACCUGCUCAGGACCCUGGAGAGAAAGGAACUGAAGAAACUCCAAAAGGAAGAGAAGCAACCUGAAAAGUCUCGACCAUGUCCGGAGCCGAAGUCUCAGCCACCACCUCCAUUGCAACCACAGCAGGCACCGUCGCCACAGCCACCGUCGCCACAGCCACCGCCUCAGCCGAGGCAACAAAAUGUCCGAGGUCCUGAUAACCAGUAUGCCUCCAAGUGCAUAUUCUACAAGGAUUCCAGCGGGCCGGGUCCCCAGGGUGGCUCAAUGGGGGUCAGAUAGUUGGAGGGCCAUCCAAGAGAUCCCAAGUGGGGCUGAAAGCUUUUCCAGGCCCUGGUGUGGGAGUGGGGGCAGGUGGUGAGAAGGGAGCCCCUCGCUCCCAUUUCGGCCCUAUUGCCGUGUCUGCCACCCAUCCUCUCUGACUCUCCCCAGCAUGCUCAGCCUUUACUACCUUCUUGGCCGACCACUCCCUCUGGGGUGGGUUUGUGCCAACCCAGGGCUGCAGAGAAGCCUGCCAACUUCUGCAGAGGGUGGCUGACAAGUCCUCAGCCCUUCCUCCAGGGUGGGAGUGACAGAGGGGGUGGGUGGUCAGAUGGUUGUAGGCUUAUCAACAGAUCUCCUGUCGGGUCUGAAACGGGGAAGCCCCAGGGUGACCUCCUAGUUGAGAAUCAUCAGGGUGGCCUGCCAUGUUCCACAUGGCUUCGCUGUGUUCCAUUCCCAGAAACUGCUGGAUGAGUAACGUGUGCUUUGUUUCAUCAUCAGGUCUGAAGAGCUCAUGCCAGGCUAGCCCAGUCAGAUACACUGGGUUCUCACGAUUCUCGUCAACAAAUUACAUACAGCAGUGGUGAUCCAGAAACAGACCUCAAGACCCCACUGGCCACCAGUGGAACAAGCACACCUCACCACCCAGCAACAUCUCCACUCCAAAAGCCACC